UACGUAGGGUGCAAGCGUUGUCCGGAAUUAUUGGGCGUAAAGAGCUCGUAGGCGGUCUGUCGCGUCGAAUGUGAAAACCCGGGGCUCAACCCCGGGCCUGCAUUCGAUACGGGCAGACUAGAGUUCGGUAGGGGAGUCUGGAAUUCCUGGUGUAGCGGUGAAAUGCGCAGAUAUCAGGAGGAACACCGGUGGCGAAGGCGGGUCUCUGGGCAGUAACUGACGCUGGGGAGCGAAAGCGUGGGGAGCGAACAGG
rnacentral:rRNA from 1 species